GACCGCUUCGGUGGCCUAGUGGUUAGAGCGUCCACCUCGGAUGCGAGAGGUCGUGAGUUCCAUCCCCGGCCAAGUCA